UAAUAAGCGAAAUAUGAGUUGUCCAAUCACAUAGUUUCGGGGGGUAUAUAUAGGAGGGGAUUGUACGACACCAGAUGUGUGUUCGAGCACCGGUUGUGCGUCACUGCCUGAGGUUCGCCAGUUCCGCGUUUGCCCCUUCCGCUCUUACAGUUUCCUUAUGGAGAGCAUCAGUUGUGGUUCUUUGUAUGGCGGCCGUUUUCUCUCGCUGCCUUAAAGUUCUCCCUCCGUAAUCCCGUGCGGGAUCGGCGCUUUGAUGUCCUUUCAUGUUUGCGGCUGCAUGUGAGUGGAUGCGUAGGAAUGAUCAUAACGAGAAGGAUCGAGGCUUCCGGACAGGCUACUAGUUGGCCCUCGUGUGUGGUGGUGGGAUUCGAACACGGAGUGCAGUGUGUUCACAUUGAUUUGAUCGUGUGUGUGUGUGUGUGUGUGUGUGUGUGUGUGUGUGUGUGUGUGUGUGACUUGUGCACCGGGUGGUGAGAUUUUUGAGACCUAGCGAUUAUAUUCAGUAAUUAGAUUACCUGUCUUCGGUAAGCCUCGGUCGCAUUGUUUCUAUUUGUUUCCAAUUGUCUUCCAUGUUAUUACAGCCUGACUCCUGUGUCUUUUAUUGACUUUUAGAAUUCAUAUUUUGUAAAAUAAACUUUGUACUUUUUGGUA